rnacentral:lncRNA from 1 species
CACUAUUUGAAGAAGGUGCUUGCUUUCCCUUCUCUCUUUUGCCAUGAUUGAAAGUUUCCUGAAGCCUCCCCAGCUAUGCUUCCUGUACAACCUGUGGAACUAGGAAAUUUGUUUUGCAACAGAAAACAUAAGAAAUUUUCCCUGCUUGGAAGAUACUCAUACAUACCAGAAACAAGUCAACAUUUUGAUUUCAAACAUCAAAAAAGGUGUCCAGAAAUCUCAAGAAUUUGAGACAUCCUAAGGAACUUUAAGUGCUGUGAGCCACAAGUAACAUCAAGAAAAGACAGGGAUGAAGAACCGCACUUACAAGCUAAGUGUAAGCUCAUCCUACACAUGUCAUUUGGACCAGACCAAGGCUGCUGUCAUGGAGGACCCACACCACAGCUUGGGAACCAUUCAUCUACCAGAGGGUCACAUGACUUCAAAUGACUCUUCUAGGGGCCACCUGCCAUGAUAGGGUACCAGCUCUUCCUCUGAAUUCCCAAUCCAUUUCUUGAGAACUACUGUUUCUAAUAAGAGGGGAAGAAGGUCAUGUGGGAAUCAGUUAAAUCACGUGUGGAUAGAAGACAAGUUCCAGCUUUGUGGGAAAUCCUGUAGCCUUCGCCAGGUACACCCUGACAAUCUCAGAACUGAUCAGAGUUUUUGUUCCAUGUGAGAUACCCACGCCACUUUAAAAAACAAACUAUCCUGACAUCUAAUUACUUUGUGAAUGAUUGUAAUGGCAAUAACAAUAGAGAUGGAAGAAUUUUGGAAACAA